rnacentral:rRNA from 1 species
AGAGUUUGAUCAUGGCUCAGAUUGAACGCUGGCGGAAUGCUUUACACAUGCAAGUCGAGCGGCAGCGCGGGGCAACCUGGCGGCGAGCGGCGAACGGGUGAGUAAUACAUCGGAACAUAUCCAUUUGUGGGGGAUAGCCCGGCGAAAGCCGGAUUAAUACCGCAUGAGCUCGGGAGAGGAAAGCCGGGGACCGCAAGGCCUGGCGCGAAUGGGUUGGCCGAUGUCCGAUUAGCUUGUUGGUGAGGUAAAGGCUUACCAAGGCGAUGAUCGGUAGCUGGUCUGAGAGGAUGAUCAGCCACACGGGGACUGAGACACGGCCCAGACUCCUACGGGAGGCAGCAGUGGGGAAUUUUGGACAAUGGGGGCAACCCUGAUCCAGCCAUUCCGCGUGAGUGAAGAAGGCCUUCGGGUUGUAAAGCUCUUUUGUCCGGAGCGAAAAGGUUACGGUGAAUAUCCGUGACUACUGACGGUACCGGAAGAAUAAGCACCGGCUAACUACGUGCCAGCCGCCGCGGUAAUAC